AAACCCUAGGUCAAGAAUCCACUACUACGUACUAGUACCAAAUUAGCAGUUCCAGAGUCCUAAAGUCUCACAGAUUGGCGGCAAAAAUCUCUCUAAUUUUUUGGUGCAACAGUUGAAUCUCUACUGUACCCACAAAGGGGUUGCGUAGGAAUGAUUGAAUGAAGGACCUCUUCAUAUCCAUAUUCGUAUUCUGGCUUCAAUUCUCACCCACAGAUUGAGUAGAAAGCGAGCAUAUUCAUAUUCUUACUCAAAUUAGCCCUCUUUCGAAUCUUCCCAUCAUCCAUAUAUAUAUCUAUACCUAUAUAGAGUAAUUUGCAUAUACACAAAACACUCGUAUUUGUUUGGUUUUUCAAUGUUCUUUCGAAGGCUCUGUACCUCUCUCACUCGAUCCGACCUAAACCUUCGCAUUUGCCCCCAAAAAUUCACCAACCCGUUAUCUGUUUUCCACUCAAAACCCCAAUUUCUCAACCGAAAUUGCUUCAAAUCGCCCUUUCAAUCGUCAAUUUCAGCAACCCACCGGUUAAUUUCGUCGAUUUAUAGAAUGGGUGAUUCCCGGAGACCGCCCACCGUGCCGAUACCGGACGUCGAGAUUGCUGACAAGUCUGAGUUGUACAGAGCACUUGAAGCCUCACUGGGUUCAUCAUUCAGUUCUAACCCAUUAGCCCCCAAUCCGAACCCUUUGAUUAUAGUGAUUAGUGGCCCAAGUGGGGUUGGCAAAGAUGCAGUGAUUAAGGGAUUGAGGGAGGUUAGAGAGGGAAUUCAUUUUGUUGUCACGGCGACGAGCCGGGCGAAAAGACCUGGAGAAGUGGAAGGGAAAGAUUAUUUUUUUGUGAGCAAAGAAGAGUUUUUGUCAAUGGUGGAGAGAGAUGAGCUUUUGGAGUAUGCAUUGGUGUAUGGGGAUUAUAAGGGUAUUCCGAAACAGCAAAUUCGUGAAUUUAUGGCGAAAGGGCACGACAUUGUGUUGAGGGUGGAUAUUCAAGGGGCUGCUACAUUGAGGAGGAUUCUUGGGAAUUCUGCUGUGUUUAUUUUCUUGGUGGCGGAGAGUGAGUCGGCGUUAGUGAAGAGGUUGAUUGGGAGGAAGACGGAGACUAAAGAGACGUUGCUCGUGAGGGUUGCCACGGCUCGUGAGGAGGUGAAGCAUUUGAGGAAUUUUGAUUAUGUGGUUGUGAAUGCAGAGGGGAAGCUUGAGAGCGCGGUGAAGUUGGUGGAAUCUAUUAUUGACGCAGAGAAAGCUAAAGUGUGGCAAAGGACUGCGGUUAUAUAGGAAUUUGCAAGUUUUUGGGAUUAUGGCUUAUAUGGAGGCUAGUGGUCUUAAUUCUUUGAUCAUGCUCAGUGAUUACAGAACACUGCACUGUCCAGGAGGAUAUGAGAAGAUGGAGAAAUGAUCAAGUUGUGAUAUAAAACUGCAGUCUUUGCACUUUAUCAAUCUUGUUGUCAGCUACUACUUAGCAGCAAAUUGAGGCAUAGCCAAGUGCCAUUCACAAGAAGCAAAAAAUAAGAAAAGAGAUUUGCUUGGUAAUUUGCAGUGAUUAAUGUCAAUGUUAAUGCAAAUUUGGUUGUAGUGCAAGUAUGUUUAUUGCCAUAGACUGAUUUAGUUUUAACCAUUCAUGUGAUUCUUUUUAUGAUAUGGUGAUCAAUUAAAUGCUGGUAUGGAAUCUUUAUGACUGAGAUGGAAUA